rnacentral:lncRNA from 1 species
GUAUUACUCUCCACUGGCCUUUUAUUUUUCGAAGGUUUGAACACAAUCUGACUCCCUGUAGCCCACAACAGACAUUCUGUAAAUUAUUUUUUGUGAUGGCAAUAUCUUCUUCACAAAUAUAUUUUUGUAAAAAUGUGUCCAUGGUGAUCACUUCUGGAAGACUUUAGGAGGCAGGAAAGAAGGAACUAUAUAAUUUACAGAUGCUGAGUUGGGAGAGACUUCAAAAACCAUCUGGUCCACCCUCCUCAUUUUAUAGAUGAGAGAACUGAGGCCCCCAGGCAAUGAUGCCUUUACAAAAUUCCUUCAGAGAAAAUAUGACAAGAAGCAAAGUUUUUCUUUUCUCGGCAGGAUUGUUCUCCACCUAAAGAGAUAAUGUUUAUCAUGUAGUCUAGAAUUUGAUGAUAUUAGGAACCAUUUUGUCUACAUGACAUUCAAAUAUAAGAGAAUUAAACUCUGAUGGAUGGUUUGGAGGCUAUUGAAAAAAAAAGUGAACUCUCCUUCUUUGCU